rnacentral:rRNA from 1 species
UACGGAGGGGGCUAGCGUUGCUCGGAAUCAUUGGGCGUAAAGAGCACGUAGGCGGCUUAGCAAGUCGGAUGUGAAAUCCCUCGGCUCAACCGAGGACGUGCAUCCGAAACUGCGAGGCUUGAGUACAGAAGAGGAUCGCGGAAUUCCCGGUGUAGAGGUGAAAUUCGUAGAUAUCGGGAGGAACACCAGUGGCGAAGGCGGCGAUCUGGGCUGAUACUGACGCUGAGGUGCGAAAGCGUGGGUAGCAAACAGG